rnacentral:lncRNA from 1 species
AACGGUGUACAUAAACAAACCUCGCACAUUGAAUGAACUUAAAGGAGCCAUAUGCAUGGAAAUCGCUGCCAUACCAUAGCAAAUGUUGGGGCGUGUUUUUGACAGCUUCGGCAGGAGACUUGAAGAGUACAUGGCGAGAAAUGGAUGCCAUUUGGAUGAUGUCAUCUUCACAACGUAAGACUUUGUUUUCAAGGUUUGUGUUACUAUCUGUUAAAUGGCACAUGUACCCCAAUAUGUUGCAUAAAUAAACACAUUUAAAGGUUUUGUAAUAAGUGCGUUAUUUUUAAUUAAAAACCAUCGGAUCUUUUUGCCG